GGAGUGAGCUCUGCUGGAUCCUUCUCAGAAGCAUCUCUACAGGGAUGUGAUGUCAGAGACUGUCGGGAACCUGACUGCCGUAGGAAUACAGUGGGAAGAUCAGUACACUGAAGAUCAGGACGAUGUUCUUGGAAGAAGCCUAAGGCACAUGGGCGUUCACACUGAACACAGACUCUGAGUGUCAGGAAGACGGUGAGAAGACUCAGCCAGCUAAGAUACAUGAAGAGGAG